GAUGGUAGAAAUGGGAUA
rnacentral:siRNA from 1 species